AUCGCCUGGGAACUACGAGCAAAGCUUAAAACCCAAAGGACUUGACGGUACCCCACAUCCACCUAGAGGAGCCUGUCCUAUAAUCGAUAACCCCCGCUUAACCUCACCAUUUUUAGCCUAUCAGCCUGUAUACCUCCGUCGCCAGCUUACCACGUGAGCGGCCCUCAGUGAGCUUAAUGUUUAUACACCAACACGUCAGGUCAAGGUGCAGCAGAUAAAAUGGGAAGAGAUGGGCUACACUCUCUAUUCUAGAAAACACGGAAGACUAUUUAUGAAACCUAGUCAGAAGGCGGAUUUAGUAGUAAAAAGAGACAAGAGUGCUCUUUUUAACAUGGCACUGGGGUGUGUACAC
rnacentral:rRNA from 1 species